UACGUAGGGUGCAAGCGUUAAUCGGAAUUACUGGGCGUAAAGCGUGCGCAGGCGGUUGUGUAAGACAGAUGUGAAAUCCCCGGGCUCAACCUGGGAACUGCAUUUGUGACUGCACGGCUAGAGUGUGUCAGAGGGGGGUAGAAUUCCACGUGUAGCAGUGAAAUGCGUAGAUAUGUGGAGGAAUACCGAUGGCGAAGGCAGCCCCCUGGGAUAACACUGACGCUCAUGCACGAAAGCGUGGGGAGCAAACAGG
rnacentral:rRNA from 1 species